rfam:Schizosaccharomyces japonicus yFS275 unplaced genomic scaffold supercont5.10, whole genome shotgun sequence.
UCCCGCUUAGCUCAAUCGGCUUAGAGCGUCCGGCUUUUAGGACACGAUAGUCAGGUGACCGGAAGGUUGCGAGUUCGAGUCUCGCAGUGGGAG